rnacentral:tRNA from 1 species
GUGGUGGCUCAGUGGUAGAGCACUUGCCUAGCAUGCAUGAGGCACUGGAUUCCAUUCUCAGCACCACA